rnacentral:rRNA from 1 species
CAUGCAGUCGAGCGGAGAUGAGGUGCUUGCACCUUAUCUUAGCGGCGGACGGGUGAGUAAUGCUUAGGAAUCUGCCUAUUAGUGGGGGACAACAUUCCGAAAGGAAUGCUAAUACCGCAUACGCCCUACGGGGGAAAGCAGGGGAUCUUCGGACCUUGCGCUAAUAGAUGAGCCUAAGUCGGAUUAGCUAGUUGGUGGGGUAAAGGCCUACCAAGGCGACGAUCUGUAGCGGGUCUGAGAGGAUGAUCCGCCACACUGGGACUGAGACACGGCCCAGACUCCUACGGGAGGCAGCAGUGGGGAAUAUUGGACAAUGGGCGGAAGCCUGAUCCAGCCAUGCCGCGUGUGUGAAGAAGGCCUUUUGGUUGUAAAGCACUUUAAGCGAGGAGGAGGCUACUUAGAUUAAUACUCUAGGAUAGUGGACGUUACUCGCAGAAUAAGCACCGGCUAACUCUGUGCCAGCAGCCGCGGUAAUACAGAGGGUGCGAGCGUUAAUCGGAUUUACUGGGCGUAAAGCGUGCGUAGGCGGCUGAUUAAGUCGGAUGUGAAAUCCCUGAGCUUAACUUAGGAAUUGCAUUCGAUACUGGUCAGCUAGAGUAUGGGAGAGGAUGGUAGAAUUCCAGGUGUAGCGGUGAAAUGCGUAGAGAUCUGGAGGAAUACCGAUGGCGAACGCAGCCAUCUGGCCUAAUACUGACGCUGAGGUACGAAAGCAUGGGGAGCAAACAGGAUU